AUAUCUUUCCUUCCAUCUGGCUGGGUGUUGGGAAAGAUGGGAUGUGCUUUCUGCAGCUCCUGGUGCCUGUGCAGUGCAGAACUCCUGCACCUCUCAGGGCAGCCCUUGAGCCUGGCCAGGCUGUGCCACUGCAUUCUCUAAGCCCAGGAGCAGCCUCCUAGCCUGGAGCUGCCUGUCUGCCCUGCAUGGAGCAAAGAUUUGGCCCAUUGCUGUAAAAACAGUGCCUGUGUUCUGUGCUCCAGAGGACGGACUUCUUGAUGGCCCAAUGUGGUUGAAGAGGUGUUAACUUUGCCCAUCCAAUCAUACUGGUCUCUGUAAAUAGUAUAUAAAGAAAUCACAUUUUGAAUAAACUCUCUU